AAAGAAUGCCCCGUUUUUUGAAAUGGGUUCUAUUCCCAAACCGUGUAUAACAUACCUUUGUUGCUUUGGCAGGCCGCCUUCGGGCGUCGGCUCACGCUGACCGCGCCUGCCAGAGGACCCAAACUCGUUUGUUUAGUGAUGUCUGAGUACUAUAUAAUAGUUAAAACUUUCAACAACGGAUCUCUUGGUUCUGGCAUCGAUGAAGAACGCAGCGAAAUGCGAUAAGUAAUGUGAAUUGCAGAAUUCAGUGAAUCAUCGAAUCUUUGAACGCACAUUGCGCCCCUUGGUAUUCCGAGGGGCAUGCCUGUUCGAGCGUCAUUAUGACCACUCAAGCCUAGCUUGGUAUUGGGGUUCGCGGUCUCGCGGCCCUUAAAAUCAGUGGCGGUGCCAUCUGGCUCUAAGCGUAGUAAUUUAUCUCGCUAUUGGGUCCGGUGGUUGCUUGCCAACAACCCCCAACUUCUAAGGUUGACCUCGGAUCAGGUAGGGAUACCCGCUGAACUUAA
rnacentral:rRNA from 1 species